CGGUGGCCGCGGGGUGGCCGAGGCUCACCCCCGCGCAACGGAACUGUUGGUGCGCUCCGACGGCGCGGAAGCCUCCGCCGAGCGCCGCCUUCUGACAGGUACUGGUGGGCUCCUGUGAGGUGGGUGGUGCCUGGGGCCGUGGCCGCGGCUACAAGCUGGAGGAGGUCAGGGAGCGUUUGGCAACUGCUCUCCUUAUGGGUUCCUUCUAACUCGGAAUAUUCUGUGGUUCUAAGUGUGUGUGAACUUUUAAAAACAAAAAGCAGAUGAGGUUAUUUCUGUUGUUGAUACUACAUAAUGAAUCCAUCCUGAUUGGAAACCCGUUCCCAACUCCCCUUCCACAGGCAGGGCUGCCACCCAGCAGCUCAGCUGCCCAGGCCCCCAUCCAGCCUGGCCUUGAGUGCCUCCAGGGAUGGGGCACCACAGCUUCUUUGGGCAGCUGUGCCAACGCCUCACAGCCCUCUGAGUGAAGAAUUUUCUCCUUAUAUCUAAUCUAAAUCGCCUCUAUUUUAGUUAAAAGCUAUUCCCCCUUGUUUGAUCACUGUCAAACCACGUAAAAAGUUGGUCCCCCUCCAGCUUACAAGCUCCCCUCAAGUACUGGCAGGCCACAAUGAGGUCUCCCCAGAGCAUUCUGUUCUUCAGACUGAUCAACUCCAACUACCUCAGCCUGUCUUCAUAGGAGAGGUGCUCCAGCCCUCCAGUCAUCUUCGUGGCUCUCCUCUGGGCACUUUUCAACAGCUGGUCCUGGAAAUGCUAUCCAGAAGCUACUGAAGAUUGCAUAAAAAAUAUUUUGGUUUUGAUAGACACUGGAACAAGUCAAAGGCCAACUUUCUGCAAAUAUUUAUGGCUUGUCCAUGUUUGGAAGCUCCCCAAAGAGACAGUCCAAAAUAAUGUUUCCAGAGAUAAAGUGGGACCUCUACCUGGCAUGUGGAAACAACAGCGCAUUUCCCCCAUCCCACUUAAUCCUGUGCUUCAAACCAGCACACACACUACAUCUGGUAGAUUGACAUGGAACAAAGAAGUCCCAAUCGCAACCACAACUGAUUUGACAUUAAAAGCUAUUUUUAAAUAUUGAACAUCCCGGUGCCUUUUUAGCGGAGGUUCAGUUUCACUUCCCAUGUUUUCCUAUGGAGUAGAACCUUUGAUUCAGACCCUGACUCAUUUUGCUCUACAAAGGAGAGAGAAACAACCCCAACUUCAAGGAACACGGUAGCUCAGGGUGUUUGUAUCUUAGAUCUGUUUGCUAAAAAUAGCACUGCCAUGGGGAUUCAAAUAACAUUAUUUACAAGGCAGAAGGUGCAUCAGAAGAGAUGUAAUAUAUCACCUUUAAUUACUUCUGUAAUUCCCGAGCCUGGCAAUUUGGGCACAAAAUUUUGCUUUUAAAGUCAGCCUACUAAUACGUAGGAUUAACAGUUGACAGAAUUACAGAGAGGCUGAUAAGUCAUAAUCACAAUUCCAAAUUCUAGCCAUCUAGAUUUAGCUGAAAAUACUGCUGCUUUUGCAGAGGAGAAACAGAAGUGAGGUUAUGUGGGAAAGAAGUGAGAUUGUGUAUUGUGAUAAGGUGGAACGGGGAUGAAGGAAUGGAAAAAAGACAAUGAAAAAGUAAGAAAGGGUGUUUUAAAGAAAGCAGAACAAAAAGAAAAUCAUGGUGACAAAAAUAUGUCUGCUCUCAACUGUAAAAACAAACAAACCAAGCUUUACUGAAAAAACAGGACUUGGAAGUGCAUAGGCCCUACUCUUCUGCUGCUGCUUUUCUGCUGCAGGUUUGAUUUUUCACUCCCUUCCACCCUACUAUGCCAGCUGUGGAAAAUGAUACACUUUAGCAUACUUGACAGAAAUCAUUAGAAGGUGAUUUUGGAAGCAAGUCCCCAUCAGGCAGCUGGGCCAGUAGCUGUGGAUUUGCUCCCUGCCAAAGUUGGGGCCAGGGCCACUGCCUCAGCACCUGCAGGUCUUGCACACACACACGGGUACAUGGCUAGUGAUGCAAAAUCACAUCUUCACAUUGAAGAGUCUGUAGGUUUGGAGAUGGGACAAGAAAGGACAACAUAUGUCCUAUGUGUAUUUGGGUAAGAAACUGAUACAGCUCAUUAAAACGUAAAAGUGAGAUAGAGGAAGGGGUAAAGCUUGUUGUUAGUUGUUAGUUUAUUUGGGGGGGGGGGGGCUGUCUGGUUGGGGUUUGUUUUGUUUUUCCUUUGUUUUGUUUUGUUUUGUUUUGUUUUUUUACUUCAAGACAAAGAAGAACUACAAACCUCAGCCAGUCAGGAGCAACCACCAUCAACAAACCUACUGCCCACUGUGGGAGAAGUAACAGUUCUAUUGAUGCAUCUCAGUGGGGAUGAAUUUCAGAAACAGCACUGCAGCCUCACUUUCUCUUUAGGGAGGUAUCAACACACAUAUAUAAGAUCCUGGAUUUGUGCCAGUCACACAGGGACAAAAAUUAAGUUUGACACACUGUGUCUAGUACUGACAGACAGCAGAAGAAAUGAUUUCCUUGAGCUACGUGCUGUAGCUUUUACUAUAGUCGGUUUUGAUUGUGGCUUAAGAACAGAUACUGUAUUUCUAGCAUAUACAUUGUUGCUACUCCAGUCCACAGGGAAGCUGAAAAUUUUCAUGCUUUUUGUGUGAGCUUUGUUAAAAGAUUUGAGAUGCUGAACAAACAAAUUUUUGCUAUUCAGUUAAACUUUAAUAUCCUGAGUAAGACAGCAAUGUGCUUAAUAUAGAGGAACUUGCAAAGGUUUCUUAACAGAAAUCUUUCUCUGAAAAGGGAAUAGCAUGUCACUAUUGUUUUAUUGAAACAGAUUUUCUAGUUCUCCUUUUCUGUGUAUUUAAGUAAGUACUGUUGGAGGCAUGAGGAGAAGACAAAAAUGAUUCAAACAGUAGAUUCUCACUUAAUAAUCAACUAUUUCCUGGAUCACAAGGGGUAUUUUUCCUAGGUAUUUAGUUAUGUAAAUAAAGCUGUGUGUAGUGCAAAAUCCUACAGUAAAAAUAAAUGCCUCAGAACAAUACCAGCAGUUUUCUAUUGUUCACCAGAUAUUACUCCUGGGGAUAAAAUCAAUUUGAGAUUUCCUGUGUUUUGUAUGAUAAGAAUCUCCUGUCUGUCCACAAACAGAUUACUUUUCACAACAUUACGAAUCAAUUAAUCAGUAAAAUAGACCAAACCAUGCAAACAGAUUAAACAAACUUUUCCUCAUCAUUUAAAAAAAAAAAAAUAAAUAAAAAUCUAUAUUUAAAACAAUGGUGAAAUUUUUGACUGCAAAAUGUAUCUUAAUACACUGCAAGGAAUUGAACAGCCAUAGAAAGAUCAUCUCAAGAUUACUAGUCCUAUUUAAUAGUCCUAACAGUCAGGCAGAUGCAAUUCAUCUAUCACACCUCAGGCCAACUGAGGAGAAAGAAAUACAAAUUAAAACAAUCAAACAAAAAACAAAACAACAAAAGACAGCCUCUUAUUGUAUGCAAAAAGAUGGGACAAAUAGUAUUUUUCAAGUCACCAUUUUGUUAUUUGAGUUCGCACCAUUCCUUGAAAGCACUCUGUUUAGACUCCUUGUGAGUGUAAAUCAUUACUUUUGAGCAAAAAAGAAUGAGAAAAGAGAAAGAGAAACAUGGAAGUUUUUCAGAUUAAGGGCAUGAUCCUAUUUCUCUUGGACAAAGUUCUCCUAAGUUCUGUGUUCCCUGCAUUUUGUGUGUCUGGAGACUUUAGGGAAAGCCUGAAACAGUCCAAAUAGCAUGUAAAACCUUUGAGCUAUACCCUGUUUAAUAUUUCUUUCAACUCCAGUUGUAGCUGAAUCAAAUCAACAGUAACAGUAACUACAGGGCAUUCCUAUUUAUCUUAGGAGCCACCAUGUGCAUAUCUACUUAAGGAGCAGAUUCACAAAGGAAUUCUAGCCAACUUAAGCCUCAUUACUGAUUUAAGAAAGCAAAACAAAACUGCUGUCUUCUUUUUACCUCCAUGAAUCUGGCUCUGCUUCUCAAGUGGAUGUACAGUGUAACAUUGGCUGGAGAAAAGAACUGAGGCAUCUAAAAAUUGACCCUGUUAUUAAAAAGCAUUCCAGCUUACCGCUUGACCAGAGUUGCACCAACAGAAGAAAGCAGUGGCUCAGGGCAGGAGCUGGGACCAGGCUUUGCAAAGGAAACCUGGGCUGUGAGCGACCUCAGUCAUCUGCAGAAACACCAGGAAGCUGAUGAAACCUUACUUGGCAUGAAAUGGGCAUGCAGGGACAACACAGAGGAUAUAACUUUGUCACUGUUUUGGUUUGGAUGAGAAGCAUGCAUGCUUUGGGUUCAUGUGAAGGAAUGAUUUUAGAUGUAACUGAACUAUAAAGUGCUUGCUAUGGGUGCAGUCAUUGUGUUCACUCAGUCCACAAGCCAAAAAGCAUCAGCUGAUCCAGUCUACAAAAUUCACUCCCAGGCUGCACUAAUUGCAAAUAUAGACAUAACUAUGCCUUCCAUCCUGGGGUUAACUUCAGUCAUUUACUACUGCCUGCACUGAAAGCACUGCUGCUGUUUGCUCAGCCAAAAAUCUGACGACAGAGGGGCAGAGUAUGUAUAACUCUGUUUAUUAAUAUUUAUCUUUUCCCCACAAAUCUUCCUGCUGAAUGAAGGAAAUAUUACUUAUAUUCUGCUAUACUAUUGGAGUUCUGGAGAUGCACUCUCAUCUGAAGCAUAAAGGAAUUAAUUCUGAUUUGGAUUAUUUUGUCUCUGGUAUUCGUAGGGAUGUAGUUCUCAGCUUUGGAAGAGAUGGAAGGCAGGGAGAAAGUCAAUAUCCUCUUUCAGCAGCUUCCAGAUAGCACAGUGCCUACAAGAGAGUCAUCUACACUGUUAGGAACUAGAACUGAACAGAUAAUUAUUGUUUUUCUGUUUGGGAAAGAAAGGAAACAGAGGAAGGAAAAGUAUGUUACAUGGAGUCUGAUAGUGCUGGCUCCUAAACUGGAAAACCAUGACCACAGGAUAUAAUCUCUUUCUUCCACUUCUUGUUUUUUUGUACUAGAUAUGACAAGGUGAAGUCUGAAAGAAAACCAAGUGAUUUGUUACGAAUCAUUUAUUCUUCAAGUUGAUCAAGAAAGCAGUGAUUGUUACUGAUCAGGCAAUACUAUGUAAAUAAAACAAUAGGAGGCAACAUAGGAAGCUAAAUUGGCAUGGAUUGCCAGUUUACAAAGAAACACCAAGGGAAAGAACAACAACAUGAAAAAAAAAAACAAUGCACAAAGCUGUACCUGGGCAGUACUGCCAGGAAAAAGACAUUGGAUCCAAAUCUGCAAUUAGAUGAACAGGGCAUGGUAAUGGUUUCAGGGUAGAAAGAUUAAAACUGAUAGGAAGUCCUUGUGGCUGAGGUGGGAGGCUUGGUGGUUCUAUAUGGAAGCCCCAGAUACAGCCUGCAUCAGACAAAAGGAACUGAGAAAAAGUACUAAGGAAGGUUUAUAAAUUUAUUUGGAUUUCAGUAGAUUAUUUUUCUAUAUGCUGACAACCAAAAAUAAAUUUCAGGUACUGCUUUUUUUCACUGCUACUCCUUCAUGAAAGAAGCAUGGAAGUUAAGUAAUUUCAUGAGUUAACAAAAAGAUUUUAUCCUUUCUCUUAAGAUGCUAACAAUUAAAAUAUAUGUAGCAGGAUUUUCCCUAGGGUAACUCUACAGUUCUUCAAGGUACAAGGGCAUAUUAGAGAUUACACAGUUAUUAUAAAACCAGUGUAAUGGCAACACAUGCUGUCACCUGGCAGUAUGUGUCUAAUUGAUCUUACUCAAUUACUUAAUUUUAUGACUCGCUUUAGUAAAGGUUAAGACAUUGAUGUUUUAGAAGGCUGUGCUGAAUAAUACCAUUGUUGGAGAUUACUUUCUCAUGUAAUUGCUUCAUUAAAAGCAGGUAAAUAGAGGAAGAGUCAUCCUGUCAGGAAGCACACUGAAACGGAAUAUACUAUGUCAAAGCAACAGCAUUACUGUCUUACAUAUGUAUGUUUUCUAGUGUCUCCCUUUUUGGAGUGGGAAAUACUUGCCUCUUUUUGACUUGCAUAAAUGACAGUAAACUCAAGUGAGAAACUCCUCUACAAUUUUAGCAUUUUUAAGCAUGACAGGGAACAAGAAGGAAAGGCAGCUCAGUGGGCUCUUUGUAGGCCUGUCAACAAAUAUUUGUACUUCAACAAGUAUUUUCAACUGCAAAGCCACAGUUCAUGUGUAGGUGGGAAAAUGUGCUGUGGUUCAGAAGCAAUACUCACUGCAUGCAUGUUCAAGAUAUGCAAAGGAAAAUUUAUUCCAGAGCCUUUGCUAUGGAGCAGUGUCUCUGUAUCCAGUCCCCUUCUGUUAUCCCAGUUUCCUUAAUGCAAUUUUAGUCAGACAAUCUGUGGUCAUAGGCUGAGUGAAGUAUUUAGUCCUUCACUGAAGGGACUUGUGAGGCCACAUUUAGGGAUCAAGAGGGAAAAAUGUGACAUGUUUUUUCCUACAGCCCUGUGUUGUUACGAUGUUUCCAGUUCUUCUCUGUCAAGGUGAUGCUCAUAUACCUUCACAGGAAACUGCAUGCUGUAAAUAUCGUGGCUUUGAUAACCAUUGUUGAUGUUAUCCUAGCAGGCAAAUAUCAGUACCUUCAAGCUAUUGCCUGCUAGAACCUUCUCAUCCUUUCUUUCUGUCUUUCCCUGGACCUGCCCAGCAGCCAGCUGGAAGACACCCUUCCAGCUCCCAACACUGGGUGUGUCUGGUUUCCCAGCAGAGGAUGCUGAAGGAAUGUCAAUGGGAGCAUACAAUUCACCUCACAGGAGCUGGGACCAUUUCUGGGGGAGAUACAGGAGGAGAUUCAAUAGAGCUGUCUCAGUAGAGCAGUGGAGGCUCUAGAAAGGGCGGCACUGCUUCACCACCAUGUUUUUUCUCUACUCUUUUUUGUAGGCCUUUUUCUGGGGAUGCAGAAUGCCCAUGCCCUGGAUUCUUUGGUGGAGUUUUACUGUACGCAUCCUUCCCAUAUACAGCAGGAGCAGACCUAUGCAAGCUCACUCUCCGAUAAACAACAUUUAAACCAAAUGGUUUAGUUCGAUCUCUUGACUCAUUUGUCUUUCACUUAGAGCAGUGAAUCUAAUGCAACAAAUAUCAUAAUUUCCCUCCCCUUGGUUUUUUUUUUUUUUUUUUUUUUUUGGCUGCUGUCCCCAUUGGAACACAUCUGCUUUCAUUGGUAGUAGUGCUACCAUGGAAGCACAUGCUGCUUCUCCACUCUGCUACUUCAUUGAGUUCGGCCACUUCUUACUCUUCUAGAACCAAAGUAUAUGAGCUUGCAUUUGGCUACUUCAGAAGGCAUGUUAGUUGAACGAGCCCAGUUUAUCCUGGAAACUGGAUCACACUCUGUAGUGUCCAUUGUCAUCACCAUUUAUUACUUCAUCUGCGCUUUUGGCUCUGCAAAAAGAGACAAAAAAAAAAAACCCAAACAAACAAACAAACAAACAAAAAAACCCCAAAACAUUAUUUGAUUUUUUAAAUAUGUUUCCAGAUUAUUCAUAAAAUUAUUACCGGCUCUUGGGUUUUUAAGGUUUUGAUGCUAUUUUGUAAGAUCUGUAAUAUAACAUAUCUUUUUUUCCCAUGUGCCUUAUUAAUGUUAUGCAAUACUAAAUCAUUUUAGUUUGAAGGCCACAAAGUAUCAAGUUAAAUACUGUUCCUAAGUGUAUUACCUCAGCACUGUUGCAAACAUCAAUAUAUUUUUAAGUUCAGCAGAGAACAACCUGAGUUCAGCUGACGAGGCCUUUUUGCAAAACUCUUAGAGUGUUAAUCUGCUUUCAUUGACUGAACUUCAUCUUUUACAUUUUAUAAAUUAUGAGGUCAACCACGUUGUUUGAGUUCAGCUUUGGAGGAUUUCCAUUGUACGCUCAGCAAGGCAGAAAACUCCUCAGCUAGAUCUUCUACAACUACUGACUGAAAGAUAUCUGCGCUCUCCUUUUACCAUAUUUGUUUCUAAUAAAUGUGUUUUAGUAUUUAACUUGUAGACUGGCAAACUGUACAAUAUUCUGAUCAGAUAUAAAUACUUCAUCUUCUCCUUAUCAAAUACCACUAAGCAGCUAACCACUGAACACAUUUUGCAUCAUUAGCUCUCUUAUGUCAGUCUAGUACCAAGCAUUUACUGACAUUCUAACUUAUUUUCACAGAACCACAGGAGUUGCUACCACCUCUCUGGGCAGCCUUUUCCAGAGCUUCGUCACUCCAACACAUCUUUCCCAUCAUAUUGAUCCAUGCAAUUGCUACACUCAGUAAAUACAAACACAUAGGUAAUGCCCACUAAUACAUAAUUACGUGCACAUAUGAAAGAGCUUGGCUGAGCCUGUGCUCUGUCUGCCCUUGUUUGAUGUAAUUAGUUGUGACCACUUUUCUUCAGGCAAUCACAAGCUUCCAGCCUUGCAGUCAUUCCACCUCUACCCACCACACUCGGGUCUGUAUGCGUGGCACCUAUUUUGUGCUGAAAAAUUGUUGCUGGUAACUUCUGGAAACUCUAAUGCAGCUUUACCACUGUCUUCAUGACGCUUCCAUUCUUCACAAAUCAGUGAUGAUAAUGCCAGUUUUAUUUUCACAUAGCAUUGACAGGCACUUAAGGGCUUAUUAGCUUUUCUUAUUUUUUUUUUUAAUUGCUUUUAGCAUUGAUGACUAAAUGCUUUCCAUACAUUAUUCAUAUUUACGUUGCAUCAAACUGUAAAGAAGUAUGUGAUAUACUAGAAAAACUACAGUUUUGGUCCCUGAUUGAUUUUCUUUCAUAGCUUUUGUGUUUCAUUAUCUUUCAGUGAUUAAUGAUAUUUUAUAGCAUUGUAUUAUUAAUGUAGUCAUACAAAUUAAAUUUGUGUAUAACUGAAAUCUAAAUCUUAACCAAGUGGCACCAAAAGCAACAUAGCAAUAGACAAGAUAAGAGUUCAGCCUUGGUAUUACCAUUUUCCUCAUGUUGCAUUUGAUGCUACAGAUAAGCAGUAACUGACAAAGAAAAUUCAUUGACUUGAUUCCAACUGACAAGAUUUCACAUAUGCUGGAACAUAUCUUGUUGCAGUUUCUGUAAAAAUAGAUACUGUUGUUUAACUUUUCUUUUUAAUCAUUUUUUGUUUUACCUAAGAUAUUCUAAGGUGUUCCUACACUUGCUUUCAUUGUUCAUCAGCAGGUAGCAUAUCAGUAAACAGAAAGCACACAGGAAAUAUUGCUAUCCUUCUGUUGUUAUUACAAAUUUGAUUUGGCGUGUUAAUAACGUGACUGUCAAAGCUGUUUAUAUUUAAAUGUUCAGUGAAGAUAAUCAUCACUAUAGAGUUUGGGCUCAGAAAAGGGUGAUAUCUUCCUCCAGAAGCAAAUCUGUGAUGGAAAUUUCCAUGCAGAUCACUUGACAGGAGAUUACAAGUUUUUCUGCAGGCCAGAUACAGACUGAGAGAUACAGAACAUGCAGAUGCUUUCAUCUUGGAGUUGCCAAAUGUACUGCAGUUCCUUUUUGCUUUCUUACUCAAAACCCACUCAAAAGUGGGUCAUACCCAAUUUUGCUUCAGUAAAAGCAUUUAAGUAACAAAAUAUGCAUUGGAUUCUGGAAAAUACAUACCGAGUCAUGCACAGGUAUUACUCAUUCUUUGUGAUAUUACAUUCAAAUUUUCCCAGUAUUAAAGAAAAAUAUUUUUUCGUAAUAAGUAAUACGCUGCCCCAAAGAUAUUGAAACACACUCCAACUGUACCUAAUAGAGCUGGUGUAACCUCCAGUCAAAUGAGAAAAAUCUGCAUAGAUUCCAACUCAGCUAUGUGUAUCACAACAUUUCCAGUACUUGUAGAAAUAGUUGGCAGCGCUACUUCUGUCCUUCAGGUGUAAUCCAAGCUAAAACCUGCCUGCAGGCAAAUCACGUAUAACAAUUCAGAGUUUAUCCUCGGACAGAGAGCAUGUUGGGUCUUGGCUGUACUCUCUUUGUGCUUUGUGCAAUAAUUUGUACUCCUGUGAAAUAACUACAAAAAAACCACCACCUGUCUGACUGGGGAUUUGGUUGUCUUUUACAGAGCUCCACAGGGCUAUGUGAAGAAGGCUUCCAAAGGAGAGAUCACGUCUAGAACCCUCCUGUAGAUGGAUCACAGGCUGUUGGGCAUGUUGAAAAUGCUGUUGCGUUGGCAGACAAGCUUUGGCAAGCUGCUUCAUAGAGGCUGAAAGGAGGUUUUGCUUCCAGCUCCACUCCUCUGCUGGAAUUACUGUCUGCACAGUAAUGGGGGAAUGCAGACCUUUGACUUAGCAGCUCUGGUGCAAAGGGUAAAACAUUCACCUUUGCUAAAGGUUAAAACUGAAAUGCUUUUCUGGCAGCAUAGGUGAAUUUGCACUAAAACAUCAAACUGAGUAGAAGAAAGCGAAGCACUUGAUUCCUCCUGCUGCUCUGGUGGUUGGGAAGAUGGGAUGGAAAAGGUGAGCGGUCUUCCAUGAGGUGCAGCACAGAAGGGUGAGAAUGGCAGCAUUUGAAAUUGACUCAAUGUAACUACUGGUGCUGGUAUGAGUGACUGGCAAAUGACCAUAGUGAUUUAUGUGGAUUAUUAAGUGUUGAUAAAGAUAUUAUGUCGAUAAAGAUAUUAAGUGUUGAUAAAGAUACAUGAAAAUUGCACAGAAUGUGGAUCACAGGUUUGUAACUUCGAUCACCAAUUACCAAAUAAUUCCAGAGAUUUACCUGUGAACUGACACUAUUAAGAUCUUCUUUAAGGUAUGUCUAAAUGGAGAAAUUCCACCAAUGUGGUGAUGGAAGAAUUAAAUUUGUGAUUCUUGCUAGACUUAUCAAGUUCCAAAUCUAAAAGUGCUCCAAAACAUUCUGGUGCCACUGCAAAAAUUAAGCUUGAGCCUAAGCCAAUGCAAAGGAAUCUUCCUGACUCUGUAUAUUGGCUUGACUAUAGAAAGGGCAAAUGGCCCAAUUGUAAAAUUCCUGGCUACACCCAGAGUUGUUAAAUUUCAGCAAAAAUAUAUAACAUUUUGUGGAAUUUUUAUAUUCCCACUGUUUGGUAAGGUCUAAAUAAAGCCUUUGAAGCUUCAUUUACUCAUUUUAAAUGCAGGUGUUCAAACUGGAACACAUACAUUCACCAAAACAAGGCACAGCACAAAUAGUAAAGAAGGCGAUGUGGUGGAAGACGGCAUACAUCAAUAGGAAAACAGUUAACCAAGAUUUAGUUCAUACAUAUUUAAUUGAACAUGUAUUUAAGCCAAGUAUUCUUUCCCAUAUCUUUGCAUACAUACUUCUAUGUCUCUUUCUGUAUAGCGAACUUUUCAGUCCUCUCGUUUUCCCAUGUUUUUAUACACUCAUGAUUUUUUUUUUGUACUGCUUAGACCUGACCUCUCUUAUUUUUUCCCUGACUGUAUUCACAUCUGGCUUUUAUCAUUUUGUUUGUCUGGCUAACUGCAAAGCAAUACCCUCCAAUCUUGCUAGUCUAUCAGCAGUGUGAAAAUACCACGAAAUGUAAACCACCAGCAAAUGUGUGAACUACCAGAAAGCUGCUAUUUGCAGAGUGGUGAAUUACAGAGAGCGUAAGAAAAGCAGCAAAAAUGUUUUGUUGUUAACACUGUCACUUCUUCCCCUUCCCCCCCCCCCCUUUUUUCUUUUUUGCCAUGGAUUUUGUAAUGGGUAAGAUUUACUUAAAAAUAACAAUGAAUUGCAUGAACACCUUGAAAUUAACAGUAGUUAAAUAUUGACAUUAAUUUCAAUAUUUUAAAAAUCAGGUUUUGCAGAAUAUAUCUUUGUAUAUUGUUCCUGAUAUUUGGCAGACUGCUCUUGGCAAAUGCUCCUGUAGUGCCUCAGUCACAUCAACGCACAGAUUGCUGUGUUGCCAUAAAACUAAUUUCAUUUGCAAUUUCCACAUGGGGAGAGGAAAUUGCAAUUAAGUGACUGAAGCAUGAAUGUGUUUCGUUCUGCUGCAUCUGCGGUCAGGAUGAUUGUCUGUAUCGAAGUGAUGGUACAGACACGUGGGUCAGUGUCAUUUGAAAUUUCUUCACCAAGAUUCAGCAAGUCUGUUAAUCCAUGUUUAAAAAUAUGACUAUAAAAUAACAUUAAUAUAUUAUAUUUAAUACUUAUUAUCUCUCUUCUGCUGCUCAGAGGGCUAACUGGCAUUAGUCAGGGGAUGGUGAGCAAUUUCUCGUGCAUCACUUGUUAUACACAUUCAUAUAUAUAUAUAUAUAUAUAUGUCUUUGUCAUAACUAUUAUCCUUUUCCUUUUCUCUAUCUUAGUAAAUAGUUCUAUCUCAACCUGCGAGUUCUACUUCAUUUUUUUCAGUUCUCUCCCCAUCCCACUGGGAAGUGGGGGGAGUGAGCAAAAAACUGUGUGGUGCUGAGCUGCUGCUGGGUUAAAACAUAGCACUCAUGACUGUGCUUCACAAGAUCUGUCAUAAACAGGUUCUGGGUUAAAGGAAAUGGCAUAGCUUGUAGCAGCAGCAACGUAAAACCCAGAUCUUAUCCUCCGUGAAUCUGUAAAAUAUUUUGCUGCUGACUUCACUGAGGUCAGAAGUAGACUAUCAAUAUGGUAAACUUGUUUUUAACCAUCAGUCUAGAUUUUCACCAUUAAAAACAGGGGAAGAUGUGAGCUUGGAGGGUCUACUCCAAACUAGAAAUGUAUCCCUACAACAUCCAAAACUUCAUUCCCAAAUAUUAACGGCCAAUGAAAAGAACAAAUAAAUUCACUACAAAAUAAUAACUAUUUCACUUCCUUUGAUUUCAUAAGCUGAAUGCUUUUAUUAGAUAGUAUAUUUGAGUAAUGCUUGAGGAAUUGUUCCAGUAGUAAAAGGAAACACAUAUUCUUCCCUAGUUACAGCUGCAAUGUCGAUAUAAGGCUUUUAACCAACGGUCAGGACAAUGUGUGAAAGUGUCAUGGUAUAAAACAUAACAAGCUGCUGCUUCUCAUUUCUUAGCUAUGUCUGAGUGAAAUGAAAGUUCAUUGGAGAACUUGUGAAUAAACUAUAGGGAAAUAUGAACCUGUAUAGGAGCUUAGAAAUGCUGCACAGAGAUUAUGACAUUGCAAAGUGCUUUUGAGUUUGUUAACGCUACACAGUAAAGCCAAACUGGUAGAAUAAUUAUCUGAUUUUUUUUUUUAAUUAGAACUUGUUAGUGUUUCAUAGAUUUCAAUAUCAAUCUAGUACUAAUAUUUUGAAAUCAUAAUGCUCAAGUAGUACUUAAAGUGGAUGCUAUUUUUAGCAGUAAUUACAUUUUUCGAUAGAACUUAACUCCAUGUGACCUCUUUGUAGAGCCAAUAGUAUUUUGCUAAGUUAGCAGCUUUUUGCUAUUUUUCUUGGGGGAGAAGUAUGUUUGUUUAAAAAAAAAUCCUUAAAAAUAUUAUUUCCAGAAUGAAUAGGACAAUAAUAAUCUAAAUAUAGUUGGCUCACUUCUAAUAAUUUUUUCCUCAGAAACAGUUUCCAAGUACAACCACUGGAAAUAGGCAAAUACUAAGAGACUGAUGACAUUCCCUAAAGACUGACAGCUUUUCUUAUUUAUAUAUUUAUAUUACAUAUUUUUACAAAACAUAUGUACAUAUAUACAUGCACAUAUAUUUAUAUUUUUAUAUAUAUUCAUAUAUAUACAUAUGCUGAAAGUUCACUUUUUUUGUCCUUUUCAUCCUCUUUUAGGAGCCUACUAGAUCCAUGGAUCAGGCAUGUAACAACCCUACAGUGACUGAAGUUCUGAAGUUCAAAGGGCUUUAGUUUUGUUUGUUUUCUAAUAUUUUGUCUAAACAUUAGGAUCAAAUGUGACAUAAUUAUUAAAAUGCUUCUGAUUUACUGAAUUUAAAGUCUCUACUCUUCUUGCUUUUUCAAUUUUUAAUAAUGCAUUAUCCAGUUUGCUUGUUAAGAGGACAUAUCUACUGCUCAGUUAUUGCUCUUCUGAUGCACAGAAACUUUUACGUACGCACAUUUUACAACUUUAGUAACCUGAAAACCAGGUCUCCACCAUAAGUAAGACCAUACUCUGUACUGAAAACUAGGUUGGAAUUCUCUGCAAGAUUGUGUUAAUGCUUAGUGAGGGCUCCUCAGAAUUGGUAGUUUGGUCGUACAUGCUCUAAGUGUACCAUAGCAAUGAAUUAAUGCCUUCAUCAAAUGUCUGUAUUUGUACUGUUCAGUAGUUUCUUCCACUCUCCCCUAAGGUCACGGUUGUGUUGUUAAUGCUUUUCUGGAUCAAUAUCCUGAUAUGCUGGCACAGCAUACAUUGGCAAGGCUGACCUUUUGCUAGCACAGCAUAUGUCACAUCUUGGUGCAUGUCAAACACUCAUAGUACGUUUUGGCUAUAUAAAAGAAGUUUAUCACAUCUGGCCAAAGCAGUCUAAACACUUUUUAAAACUACUUGUACUACUAAAGACCUAUCAGUUAUAUCCACUGCUACUAACAAUUCUGUAUCUCUUAUUACCUUAGAUAUUCCUGUCAUUUUUGCCAGUGCAGUGAAGAUGAGGAUGACUUAUUGGAUCGUUGUCUCACUUACUUCAGAUUAGAAAGGAUAUGGUAAUGUGCAUAAGUUCAGUAUUCACAGAUUAAACAAAUUCUAGUAAGUGUUAUUGAUAGGAGAUAACAAGUAUGAAAUUUAUUAAUUGCUUAAAUUGACUUUUACACUGCAAGAAAAACAUCUUUUCCCUCUCCCCUGCUGUCACUGACAAGUGUGGAUGCAUGUGAUGUUUAAAAUGUUUAAUUAUGGCCAAGACAAUGAGCAUUAUUAGGUUCAGUGACCUGUAUACCUGUGUAUCUCCUGCUGUAGGGAACCUGUUUUAGUAGGGAGGUUGGGACUCUGUGAUCUCUAAAGAUCCCCUCCAACCCCUGCAAUUCUGUCUGCUUUUAAGUCACGUAUGCACUAUUUCUCUAUACUGACCUAACUCAGAUUCAUGUGCAGCCUUUGCUGCAUAUUCUAAUUUGGGGUUUUGUGUUAUGUACAAGUGGAAGAGUGGCAUGGUUACGAUGGUACUUUACAGGUGUUAUAGUUGGAAAGAUUACUGUGGUGAAAAAGAGAUGAUCAAAGAAGAAAUGCUCACCUGUAUCUGAGGAUCUAGGUUCACAGUGGAAAAACUCCAAAAAAGAGGGAUCUCCAGAAAGAGAUCCUUCCCCAGUGGUAGUCAGCCUUAAAUGGGGUCUAGCCUGGCUCCACCCCCUUCAGUCACACAGGUGAAUUGCCUUCACCUGAGCUCCCAUGGCUGACCCAGUCCUUGUCUCGGGUGAUCAAUCAGUGGUUCAGGCCAUGACUCAAUAGUUCCCAUACCUGUUAUAAUUUGAGAACUGCUUAUACAUGCAGCCUCAUACAGGAGUGUUUCGUAGAUUUGUUGGGUUUCUUUUUUUUUGAGUGUAUGUGUAUGUUUUCCUAGUUGUUGUUUUGUUUGUUUUCUUUCAUACGUUAAGAUAACUUUACAUAGGUGGCUUAAUUCUGAAUGUCUAUAAAGGCUGAAAGGUCCUACUUUGAUCCUCUGUACAGUUAAGGCCCACUGAGUGUGUAGAAUCAGAUCUCAACAGGUAUAUGGGUUAUUUGUUAUUAAUUUAUUAUUAGGAUGAUAAACAAAUGGAUGAUAAACAAGGGAAUAAGCAAAUAGUUUGGAUGAUGAACAGAUUCUAUUCAAAAUAUUUGCAAUAAAAACAAAGCAGCAUUUGCAAGUCCAAUCUCUUGUUAGCGAGUCCAAGUGAAUAUAUUAACCUUAAAAUAUACAUAGGCCAACAAUACCUGGGAUGUGGGCAGACACAAAUUCAUAGCUGGGAUUAGCAUAAUCCCUAUAUUUAUGUUCAAUAUAUGUGUGUAUAUAUAUAUUAUAAAGUGGAAAAGCACUAAGAAAAUAGGGUUUGAUUGGAGAGCAGAGGUGAAUCAUCUUCGUAAUUUGAAUUUGUAACUCAUGCACAGAAUGGAAACAGAACUAUAUACAAUAGCACUUUAUUGACUCAUUAAUAUUUAUUUAUAUACACAGUAAUAUACCAUCCAUCAACAAAUUGGACUCUUUAAUAAAUAGCAUUAACGUUGCUUGUUUUUUGCAUAAUCAGUUAAUUAAUGCUUCUGCAUUUGACAUUCUCAUUUACUUUAUGUUGCAUAAUGAUUUAUCUUGUUCUGUGCUGCAGUGUUUACUCCUAAGGAGUAGAAAGUUAAACAGUAAACUUUGUUAAACAGUAUUUUGUUGCCCAGUAGCUCGAGUAAUCAAAGUAAAAUCUAUUAACACAUUAAUUAGUAUCUUAAUAUUCAAUAAAAUACCCUUUUCUUUUCUUUUGGAGGCAUAAACAUCAUUGCAGAAGUUAUUAUUGUAAAAGUUCCAGACAGGUAAUUCUCAAAGUAUGUGCACGUGAAUCCUGUAAGCAGGACAUAAGGAGUACUGAAUAACAGCAGAAGUAUGUGGUCUGUAGGCAAAUAUGGACAAUAAAAUGGGGUGUUGACAACCUGAUUAGACUUUUUUUUUCCUUAAGCAUUGUUCUAGUUUUAAAGCAACUUUUAAAUUAAAUUGAAAUUUAAUUUAAAUCUCCCAUAUUUUUUUCUGUAAGGAUAAAAGCAAAUAUUGUCAGUUUCUCUACAAAAAACAAAGGUCAUGAACUCUGAUAAACCAGUAUACAAAUAAAUAAAUGGUUUUUAUAGCAUCCUCUCCCAUUAGAUUGCAGCUCCAUUCCAGGAGCAUGCUGGCCUUUUGAAUAUCCAUAAUGAAAAUGUAGUGCCAAAGGCAGGUGACAAAGCACUAACAAAUUGGAACAAAAGAAAAAAAGGAAAAGCAGUAUCAGGCAUGCUACCUGCUGGCAAGAGCAGUAUUAUUGACCCCAUAAGAAAGCAUGAGUUUCCAUUUACAGUGUAUGCAAGAUGGGGCUCAGAGUUAGUGAGGUUUGUAAGUGAAAUACAUCUUAAAAAAAAAAAAAAAAGCAAAAAGUGAAAUAAUAUUCACUUGCUAUUUUUUUCUAUUUAUUUGUGGGAACAUUUGAGUAAUUAAACAAAUUUUUGUCCUAGAAGCAAAGCAACCAAAUAAACUGAUCCAAAUUAUUGGACUUCUGGUUUCCUGCACACCUAAAAAUAAAUAAAGAAAUAAACACUGAGAACUUUUUGUAUAUAGGAAUUAAGUUAGCACUGACGGAGAGUUCUUUUUAGUUCUGUCAGUGGCUGCAAGUAUUCUCUGUAGGUAGUACAGAUACACCUGGCAGAAGCAAAGAAUGUCCAUCCCCUCCCACAUGGCACCUCCUGAUCACUGUGUAGCUAUACAGUUUUCUCUUUCCUCUUAUGCCUAUGUGUCUCCAAUGGCUCCAGCAGAACUCCGGAUAGCUGCCCAUUGCACACCGAAGAGGAGAUGCACUCUUCUUGCAUCAGCAGCAGUCAGGAAAGCCAUCAAAAUAAUAGUUGUACAAAGCAGCUGUUGUACAAAAAGUAGUUAUAGGAAGUUGUACAACAGCUGUGCAAAAAUGAUCUAAAAUAUACUUUUUCAGCGACAGUUGCCCAUAGAAAAAUUUGAUGAGCAAUUCUACAAGUUUUCACCUUUGAGAUUUCAUUUCACAAACACUUUUCAUCAUGAGGAAUAAAAAGUUGGCAGGGCCAUUGAUUUCAUCUAAAAUGUUUGAUUUAAAAUGCUUUCCGUCAAAUAAAUGUGUUUCAUGAUGUUCAACUGCCUGGUUUCUUUUUACAUGUUGUCGAUGUCAAUGCCAAAAACUACCUAAGAUUUACCAUGUUGGUGCCGUGCUAUAUAUUGCUCCAUGGCAUAACAGUUGUCAACUCCAAGGUCACAGCUUUAUUAAAGGAUCAAGAUUUACAAUAAUGUUAGCUCCAGCAUGAAUGCCUUCACACACAUCUUCCCAUACUUUACUUCUCUGAGGUCACCAGCCCAAUCUCUCCCCCUGCCAAAGCUACUAAUCCAUAAAUACUGCAGUCUCCUGAACUAAGUUCAAAUGGACCUAUCAUCUUCUUUGAGUAAUAAAUCUUUACUUUUGUUUAACACCUGCCUUCAGAGAAUGCAACCCUCUUUACCUGCAGUAAUUAAUUUACCUUCACCACGUCCUUAUGUGGUGCUUAAAAACUGCUCCCCUUUUACAGACUAAGGAACCGAGGCAUGAUGACAUGCUUGACUGCAGUGCCACAGGAAGACUGAAAAGACUUGGAAGCCUGUGUCUGCAUUUAAGUCUUGAAUGCUGAAGCUGAAAGCUGUGCUAUAUCCCUCCCAGUCCUGUAGUGUCUAAACUGAGGCCUCUGUAGCUCUUCUUGUAAUGUAGUUUCAUGGCAUUGAUAAGGCAAACCUGAAGUUGGCUAUAUGGGAGUGUAUAGUCCUAAUCGAUGCACAUAGAUAUAAAAAAGUAUUCUGCAGACUCUCUAUCACUCAAGGUGUGAUUGGGUAUCUUCUGGUUGUGCUUGCACUGUUGAAGGGGUUACUGCUACCAACUUACAUACCGCAACAGGGGGUACUGCUACCCCUCAUGCCUUCUCAGGUCUACAGGCCUGGCUUCCAGCUUUAUUUCAGACAAGGCCAGUUAAUUACCUCAAGCAGCAGUUCUUUGCCAGCUGAUGAACAGCUCAGCUAACUCAUAGCAACCUCCAACAGAGCAGUAAUGAGUACAGGAGAGCAGUUAGCUCAGGUGCCAGCAGAGCCCCAGGUACAAAAAUACACCUUACCUCAGUGACUCAGCUUCCCAGCUCUGUCCUCUCCCGUGAGUCCUAUGCACAAGGAGUUUUGCUGUUGGCACUGGACUUUCUCCUGAGCUGAAACGUGCAGUAAAUAUCCCAGCCCAGAUGACUUUACUCUUAAAUUGCUUAUAUGAAUGGGUGAACUUCACGACUACUAGAACACAAAGGCCUUCAAAUCUUGCCUUGGUAUGAUCUAAAAAUGAAGUAUUUGGGACAGUCUUUAGCUUUAUCUGGGUCUUAGCUUUUGCUUGGAAGGACAGCAGCAUUUUUAGCCAGUCAUAACUGAGAUCCUGAAUAAGAAAGCAGAGCCACCAUCCUUCACAGUAUCACAGAAGAGUUCAUCUUCCAUCCUCAUCUAAAGUGAGACCUGAGCUUUAGCUUCAUUUCGUCUUCUCUCUUUUCCCUCCAAAGCGUGGGACCAGAUAGUGGGGGCAUUGCCUUGCUGCUGAUCCCUGGCAGAUACAAGCAGCAGCCCUGAGGGAUGGCUAAAGCCUAAAUAGUUUUGAAAUCCUGGAUGCUGAAGGCCUAAUUGAACCACAAGGCUUAAUGUUUUGAAUUUUCUCUUCCCUGAAAAUAUAAUUUCAGGCUACAGAGAGAGUUUCCUACCUAGCAAUCUCCUCUAGACAUCUGCUUGUGGUAUAGACAGUUGCAGUCCCAAGGAGAAAAGAAACAUGGAAGCGAAGGAACGAUUUAUCUUCAGCCCAUGGCGCAUAUUUUUGAUACAGGAUGAGAGACCAGGACCGACCUGAAUCUUAGUUUUAUUAUGAACCAAUAUAAUUUCCACAAAUGAAUAUAUUUUGAAACAAACACAGUCUCUAUGAAUUGGUUUCUUUUAAAAGUAUUGCCAGCAUUUUGUUUGUUGUUCAUCUGCCAAGAGUUACAUUUGAGGUGGUCAGUGCUAGAUGGGCUAAACAAGCCCAAAUUCUUCUCUACCUGGAGAGAUUUGUUGGCAUAACUACAUCACUGUAGUGGUCUCCUUACAAUUCCUUAUUCUGGAAGAAAAGUGCACAGCCAUGCUGCUGGAUUACUGUUAAACUUUUUUGUCAGUAUGAUUCAGUAGGCAGAAAUUUUUAACAAAAUAUUACUAAUAGCACUAAAACUACACACAUAAAUGCUGCUGACCACAGUGAGAGGUCAGAUGCAUUCCUGAGCUGCCUGUGCAAGGCGUCCCAUAAGCCAUCCUCUGAACCCCCCUCUGCAGCUGAUAUUGCUGGCACAGCCACCUCCGUACUAUGCAGUAUGUUCACCAGUGAUGUCCUACAGCAGAACGACAUGCACACACAUAUGUUUUGUUUUGUGUAGGUUUACACUUCCAUUAGGCAGAGGUGCCACAGAGAGUCAGCCUUCUCAGUAUGCUAUGCUGCAGCAGCUGCCUAAUGUACACCACAGAAUAAUCUGAGCUGGAAAGGACCCUAAAGGUCACCUGGUCCAACUCCCCUGCAAUGGACAGGUACACCUACAGCUACAGCAGGUUGUUCAGCGCUCUGUUCAGCCUGACUUUGAAUGUCUCCAGGGACGGGGCAUCCACCCGUCUGGGCAACCUGUACCAGCGUUUCACUGUUCUAACUGUAAAACACCUUUUCCUUAUAGCCAGUCUAAAUCUCCUGUUUUAGUUUGAACCCAUUUCCCCUUCUCUUAUCACAACAGACCUUGCUAACAAGUCUGUUUCCUUCCUUCUUAUAGUCCCCCUUUAGAAGGCUGCUAUGAGGUCUCCCUGGAGUCUCCAGUUCUCCAGGUUGAACAGCCCCAGUUCUCUCAGCCUGCCCUCAUAGGAGAGGCGUUCCACCCCCUGGAUCAUGUGUGUGGCCCUCCUCCUCCAGCAGGUUUAUGUUUCUCCUGUACUGUACACCCAACUUAAGUUUCCCAGCAUGAAGUCCUAAAUGUAUUAGUUCUAGAAAGGGUAGCAGAAAAUGUUCAUUUAGUUAAUAAUCAAAACUCCUGAACAUUAUAACAGCUUAUAUAACAUGCCUUUAAUGCUUUGUGAAUACCUCCAUGUUUGAACCACUACUUUAUCAUCAAGAAGAGUGCAGAAAUGCCUUCACCAUUUAUGCAGAAGGUGCCUGCAAACACUUUCCUCUGAUUUCAUACUGUCAGCAAGUGUCAGUCUGUCCCUCUGCUACUACUACCUGAAAGAAAGGUGCCAAUGGCUCAGCUGGGUUGGCCAUAGAUUUGUUACCUCCCUGAGUGUCUGUACUAGACCCACUUGCUAACCUGUAGCACUUCCCCUAGCCACUUUGGGGACCAGCAUUUCGUAGCUGUUUCCACAUCCGCAUUUGCAGCAUACUCAACAUGGGCACGAUAGGGGGACAGGGACAUACAGUAGGGCAGGAUUGCCAGCAGCACUUGCAAGGCCCCAAGCGGGCAUCUGAACGUCAAGAACUUUCCCAGAUACGGAUUCCCUUAACUCUAGAAACUUUUUGGGGCCGAGAAGCUCUAAGAGCAGAGCGGGACAAGGCGCGGGUGCAGCGCGCUGCCACAGGAACAGGCCCAUAUCCGAGCUCGCCCACCCGCCGCCACAGAGGUCGCG
ensembl:lncRNA